rnacentral:rRNA from 1 species
CAGCAGCCACGGGAAUACAGAGGGUGCGAGCGUUAAUCGGAUUUACUGGGCGUAAAGCGUGCGUAGGCGGCUUCUUAAGUCGGAUGUGAAAUCCCUGAGCUUAAAUUAGGAAUUGCAUUCGAUACUGGGAAGCUAGAGUAUGGGAGAGGAUGGUAGAAUUCCAGGUGUAGCGGUGAAAUGCGUAGAGAUCUGGAGGAAUACCGAUGGCGAAGGCAGCCAUCUGGCCUAAUACUGACGCUGAGGUACGAAAGCAUGGGGAGCAAACAGGAUUAGAUACCCCGGUAGUCCCUGUCUCUUAUAC